rnacentral:lncRNA from 1 species
GAGCACUGGCUUUUGGAAAAACCUGCGGACUACCGGGCGAGCAAAGAGAGAGAGACAGCCUACCGCUGGUUCGGUCGAGCAGAGAGCACGAUCUCCGGCGGCUGAAGAGUGGUUCUUGAAUCGGCCAGAUACUGUUCCAUCCUCUUUUCUGCCAAUCAAGCAAAGAUGAGGACAACACCCAAACUGGCACGAUAACAGCGCCGUAUAAGAAGAGGACCCAAUUGUUCCAAAAGGCCCUGAUUUUGCUCCGCCGCGGUCCGCGCGGAGGCUGCCGCAGCUGUGGACAGCAACAGGUGAGAAAAGGUGAGAGGAACCUGCUGACAUCCAUAUGACCGUAUGACCAAGACAAGACCUGUCUGUCCAGGAGACAGAGACCACACCAGGUAUGGUGUCCUUCUGAUGUUCUUGAUGCACAUCCAAGGGUACUCGUCCGUUGAUGGGUGAUGGAGAUGAGGUUCCUUCUGCUAUAACCCUGGCCUCCAAGAACAGCUUCAAAGACAGGACCUAAGGAGAGAUCAGUCACGCAAAACACAUCUACACACCACUGCUUCUGCUGCAAAUGUGAGGGCAUGAUCUGUCUCUGUGAAGACAAAACAAUAUGCACCUUGUGAAAUUCUCAGAACAUGGUUAAUUUUGAAACUGUUACAACUGAAACGACAAAACGUUUUACCAAUAGAGGUUAUGCUGCUUAUGAUAUGAACUGUAUCGUCCAUUGAUAUAUUGGAUUUCAUGAUGUUACAUGUCUUCAAUCUGUGAU